rnacentral:rRNA from 1 species
ACGGGUGAGUAACGCGUGGGUAACCUGGCCCAUACAGGGGGAUAACACUUAGAAAUAGGUGCUAAUACCGCAUAACAACAGAAAGCGCAUGCUUUUUGUUUGAAAACCAAGGUGGUAUGGGAUGGACCCGCGUCUGAUUAGCUGGUUGGCGGGGUAAAGGCCCACCAAGGCGACGAUCAGUAGCCGGCCUGAGAGGGUGGACGGCCACAUUGGGACUGAGACACGGCCCAAACUCCUACGGGAGGCAGCAGUGGGGAAUAUUGCACAAUGGGAGAAACCCUGAUGCAGCGACGCCGCGUGUGUGAAGAAGUAAUUCGUUAUGUAAAGCUCUAUCAGCAGGGAAGAAAAUGACGGUACCUGAGUAAGAAGCCCCGGCUAACUACGUGCCAGCAGCCGCGGUAAUACGUAGGGGGCAAGCGUUAUCCGGAUUUACUGGGUGUAAAGGGAGCGUACACGGCAGUGCAAGUCUGGAGUGAAAGGCGGGGGCUCAACCCCCGGACUGCUCUGGAAACUGUACGGCUGGAGUGCAAGAGAGGUAAGUGGAAUUCCUAGUGUAGCGGUGAAAUGCGU